rnacentral:rRNA from 1 species
GACGAACGCUGGCGGCGUGCUUAACACAUGCAAGUCGAACGAUGAAGCCUAGCUUGCUAGGUGGAUUAGUGGCGAACGGGUGAGUAAUACGUGAGUAACCUACCUUUAACUCUGUGAUAAGCCUUGGAAACUGGGUCUCAUACCGGAUACGACCAAUCUCCGCAUGGGGUGUUGGUGGAAAGCGUUAUGUAGUGGUUAUAGAUGGGCUCACGGCCUAUCAGCUUGUUGGUGAGGUAACGGCUCACCAAGGCGACGACGGGUAGCCGGCCUGAGAGGGUGACCGGCCACACUGGGACUGAGACACGGCCCAGACUCCUACGGGAGGCAGCAGUGGGGAAUAUUGCACAAUGGGCGCAAGCCUGAUGCAGCGACGCCGCGUGAGGGAUGACGGCCUUCGGGUUGUAAACCUCUGUUAGCAGGGAAGAAGAGAGAUUGACGGUACCUGCAGAGAAAGCGCCGGCUAACUACGUG